AUUGAACGCUGGCGGUAGGCCUAACACAUGCAAGUCGAACGGCAGCACAGUAAGAGCUUGCUCUUACGGGUGGCGAGUGGCGGACGGGUGAGGAAUACAUCGGAAUCUACUUUUUCGUGGGGGAUAACGUAGGGAAACUUACGCUAAUACCGCAUACGACCUACGGGUGAAAGCAGGGGAUCUUCGGACCUUGCGCGAUUGAAUGAGCCGAUGUCGGAUUAGCUAGUUGGCGGGGUAAAGGCCCACCAAGGCGACGAUCCGUAGCUGGUCUGAGAGGAUGAUCAGCCACACUGGAACUGAGACACGGUCCAGACUCCGACGGGAGGCAGCAGUGGGGAAUAUUGGACAAUGGGCGCAAGCCUGAUCCAGCCAUACCGCGUGGGUGAAGAAGGCCUGCGGGUUGUAAAGCCCUUUUGUUGGGAAAGAAAAGCAGCAGGUUAAUACCCCGCUGUUCUGACGGUACCCAAAGAAUAAGCACCGGCUAACUGCGU
rnacentral:rRNA from 1 species